rnacentral:rRNA from 1 species
UGAGCAAUCUGCCCUUCUCAUCGGAAUAAGCGUUGGAAACGACGUCUAAUGCCGAAUACGACCUCCUUUCGCAUGAUCGGAGGUGGAAAGCUCCGGCGGAGAAGGAUGAGCUCGCGGCCUAUCAGCUAGUUGGUGUGGGUAAAGGCCCACCAAGGCGACGACGGGUAGCCGGCCUGAGAGGGUGACCGGCCACACUGGGACUGAGACACGGCCCAGACUCCUACGGGAGCAGCAGG